UCACCAAAUAAUAAUGAAGAUCAUUUGAAAACAUCAAGUGGGGCUCCUUCGUCAACACCUACAAUUGGAAAAUCAAUUCCAUCGUUGGAACCACAACAAGAAGACAUGGCAUCUCCUCAAACAGGAUCUCCUCUGCCAACACCGACAAAUAAUGAAAAACGUGUGAAACGAAAGGGUCAAACGACAACGCAACAUGUUGGAUCACCAAAUUCACCUUUGGAAGGUCAUUCUGCAAACGCACCAAAUGAAAAUGGUUCGUCGUUCCAACCACAUUCUCCAUCAUCGUCACCUGGUCAAGAAGAAAGUGUGGAGAGUCCUUCAGGUUCCGCUAGGGAAACACCUACAAACGAAGCAAGUUUCAUUGGAAGAUCACCAAAUAAUAAUGAAGAUCAUUUGAAAACAUCAAGUGGGGCUCCUUCGUCAACACCUACAAUUGGAAAAUCAAUUCCAUCGUUGGAACCACAACAAGAAGACAUGGCAUCUCCUCAACCAGUUUCUUCUCAACGAACACCGACAAAUAAUGAAAAUCGUGUGAAACGAAGGGGUGAAACAAUAACUCAACAUGUUGGAUCACCAAAUUCACCUUUGGAAGGUCAUUCUCCAAACGCACCCAAUGAAAAUGGUUCGUCGUUCCUACCACAUUCUCCAUCAUCGUCACCUGGUCAAGAAGAAAGUGUGGAGAGUCCUUCAGGUUCCGCUAGGGAAACACCUACAAACGAAGCAAGUUUCAUUGGAAGAUCACCAAAUAAUGAAGAUCAUUUGAAAACAUCAAGUGGGGCUCCUUCGUCAACACCUACAAUUGGAAAAUCAAUUCCAUCGUUGGAACCACAACAAGAAGACAUGGCAUCUCCUCAACCAGUUUCUUCUCGACUAACACCGACAAAUAAUGAAAAUCGUGUGAAACGAAAGGGUCAAACAACAACUCAACAUGUUGGAUCACCAAAGACACCUUCGGAAGGUCAUUCUCCAAACGCACCCAAUGAAAAUGUUUCGUCGUUCCUACCACAUUCUCCAUCAUCGUCACCUGGUCAAGAAGAAAGUGUGGAGAGUCCUUUAGGUUCCGCUAGGGAAACACCUACAAACGAAGCAAGUUUCAUUGGAAGAUCACCAAAUAAUGAAGAUCAUUUGAAAAUAUCAAGUGGGGCUCCUUCUUCAACACCUACAAUUGGAAAAUCAAUUCCAUCGUUGGAACCACAACAAGAAGACAUGGCAUCUCCUCAACCAGUUUCUUCUCGACUAACACCGACAAAUAAUGAAAAUCGUGUGAAACGAAAGGGUGAAACAACAACUCAACAUGUUGGAUCACCAAAGACACCUUCGGAAGGUCAUUCUCCAAACGCAGCCAAUGAAAAUGGAUCGUCGUUCCUACCACAUUCUCCAUCAUCGUCACCUGGUCAAGAAGAAAGUGUGGAGAGUCCUUUAGGUUCCGCUAGGGAAACACCUACAAACGAAGCAAGUUUCAUUGGAAGAUCACCAAAUAAUGAAGAUCAUUUGAAAACAUCAAGUGGGGCUCCUUCUUCAACACCUACAAUUGGAAAAUCAAUUCCAUCGUUGGAACCACAACAAGAAGACAUGGCAUCUCCACAAACAGGAUCUCCUCGACUAACACCGACAGAUAAUAAAAAUCAUGUGAAACGAAAGGGUCAAACAACAACGCAACAUGUUAGAUCACCAAAUUCACCUUUGGAAGGUCAUUCUCCAAACGCACCCAAUGAAAAUGGUUCGUCGUUCCUACCACAUUCUCCAUCAUCGUCACCUGGUCAAGAAGAAAGUGUGGAGAGUCCUUCAGGUUCCGCUAGGGAAACACCUACAAACGAAGCAAGUUUCAUUGGAAGAUCACCAAAUAAUGAAGUACAUUUGAAAACAUCAAGUGGGGUUCCUUCGUCAACACCUACAAUUGGAAAAUCAAUUCCAUCGUUGGAACCACAACAAGAAGACAUGGCAUCUCCUCAACCAGUUUCUUCUCGACUAACACCGACAAAUAAUGAAAAUCGUGUGAAACGAAAGGGUGAAACGACAACGCAACAUGUUGGAUCACCAAAUUCACCUUUGGAAGGUCAUUCUCCAAACGCACCCAAUGAAAAUGGUUCGUCGUUCCAACCACAUUCUCCAUCAUCGUCACCUGGUCAAGAAGAAAGUGUGGAGAGUCCUUCAGGUUCCGCUAGGGAAACACCUACAAACGAAGCAAGUUUCAUUGGAAGAUCACCAAAUAAUAAUGAAGAUCAUUUGAAAACAUCAAGUGGGGCUCCUUCGUCAACACCUACAAUUGGUAAAUCAAUUCCAUCGUUGGAACCACAACAAGAAGACAUGGCAUCUCCACAAACAGGAUCUCCUCGACGAACACCGACAGAUAAUAAAAAUCAUGUGAAACGAAAGGGUCAAACAACAACGCAACAUGUUAGAUCACCAAAUUCACCUUUGGAAGGUCAUUCUCCAAACGCACCCAAUGAAAAUGGUUCGUCGUUCCUACCACAUUCUCCAUCAUCGUCACCUGGUCAAGAAGAAAGUGUGGAGAGUCCUUCAGGUUCCGCUAGGGAAACACCUACAAACGAAGCAAGUUUCAUUGGAAGAUCACCAAAUAAUGAAGAUCAUUUGAAAACAUCAAGUGGGGCUCCUUCGUCAACACCUACAAUUGGAAAAUCAAUUCCAUCGUUGGAACCACAACAAGAAGACAUGGCAUCUCCUCAACCAGUUUCUUCUCGACUAACCCCGACAAAUAAUGAAAAUCGUGUGAAACGAAAGGGUGAAACAACAACUCAACAUGUUGGAUCACCAAAGACACCUUUGGAAGGUCAUUCUCCAAACGCACCCAAUGAAAAUGGAUCGUCGUUCCUACCACAUUCUCCAUCAUCGUCACCUGGUCAAGAAGAAAGUGUGGAGAGUCCUUCAGGUUCCGCUAGGGAAACACCUACAAACGAAGCAAGUUUCAUUGGAAGAUCACCAAAUAAUAAUGAAGAUCAUUUGAAAAUAUCAAGUGAGGCUCCUUCGUCAACACCUACAAUUGGUAAAUCAAUUCCAUCGUUGGAACCACAACAAGAAGACAUGGCAUCUCCACAAACAGGAUCUCCUCGACUAACACCGACAGAUAAUGAAAAUCAUGUGAAACGAAAGGGUCAAACAACAACGCAACAUGUUGGAUCACCAAAGACACCUUUGGAAGGUCAUUCUCCAAACGCACCCAAUGAAAAUGGAUUGUCGUUCCUACCACAUUCUCCAUCAUCGUCACCUGGUCAAGAAGAAAGUGUGGAGAGUCCUUCAGGUUCCGCUAGGGAAACACCAACAAACGAAGCAAGUUUCAUUGGAAGAUCACCAAAUAAUGAAGAUCAUUUGAAAACAUCAAGUGGGGCUCCUUCGUCAACACCUACAAUUGGAAAAUCAAUUCCAUCGUUGGAACCACAACAAGAAGACAUGGCAUCUCCUCAACCAGUUUCUUCUCGACUAACACCGACAAAUAAUGAAAAUCGUGUGAAACGAAAGGGUGAAACAACAACUCAACAUGUUGGAUCACCAAAUUCACCUUUGGAAGGUCAUUCUCCAAACGCACCCAAUGAAAAUGGUUCGUCGUUCCAACCACAUUCUCCAUCAUCGUCACCUGGUCAAGAAGAAAGUGUGGAGAGUCCUUUAGGUUCCGCUAGGGAAACACCUACAAACGAAGCAAGUUUCAUUGGAAGAUCACCAAAUAAUGAAGAUCAUUUGAAAACAUCAAGUGGGGCUCCUUCGUCAACACCUACAAUUGGUAAAUCAAUUCCAUCGUUAGAACCACAACAAGAAGACAUGGCAUCUCCACAAACAGGAUCUCCUCGACUAACACCGACAGAUAAUAAAAAUCAUGUGAAACGAAAGGGUCAAACAACAACGCAACAUGUUAGAUCACCAAAUUCACCUUUGGAAGGUCAUUCUCCAAACGCACCCAAUGAAAAUGGUUCGUCGUUCCUACCACAUUCACCAUCAUCGUCACCUGGUCAAGAAGAAAGUGUGGAGAGUCCUUCAGGUUCCGCUAGGGAAACACCUACAAACGAAGCAAGUUUCAUUGGAAGAUCACCAAAUAAUAAUGAAGAUCAUUUGAAAACAUCAAGUGAGGCUCCUUCGUCAACACCUACAAUUGGUAAAUCAAUUCCAUCGUUGGAACCACAACAAGAAGACAUGGCAUCUCCACAAACAGGAUCUCCUCGACUAACACCGACAGAUAAUAAAAAUCAUGUGAAACGAAAGGGUCAAACAACAACGCAACAUGUUAGAUCACCAAAUUCACCUUUGGAAGGUCAUUCUCCAAACGCACCCAAUGAAAAUGGUUCGUCGUUCCUACCACAUUCUCCACCAUCGUCACCUGAUCAUGAAGAAAUUGUGGAGAGUCCUUCAGGUUCUGCUAGGGAAACACCUACAAACGAAGCAAGUUUCAUUAGAAGAUCACCAAAUAAUGAAGAUCAUUUGAAAACAUCAAGUGGGGCUCCUUCGUCAACACCUACAAUUGGUAAAUCAAUUCCAUCGUUGGAACCAAAACAAGAAGACAUGGCAUCUCCUCAAACAGGAUCUCCUCUGCCAACACCGACAAAUAAAGAAAAACGUGUGAAACGAAAGGGUCAAACGACAACGCAACAUGUUGGAUCACGAAAUUCACCUUUGGAAGGUGAUUCUCCAAACGCACCCAAUGAAAAUGGUUCGUCGUUUCAACCACAUUCUCCAUCAUCGUCACCUGACCAUGAAGAAAGUGUGGAGAGUCCUUCAGGUUUUGGUAGGGAAACACCUACAAACGAAGCAAGUUUCAUUGGAAGAUCACCAAAUAAUGAAGUUCAUUUGAAAACAUCAAGUGGGGCUCCUUCGUCAACACCUACAAUUGGACAAUCAAUUCCAUCGUUGGAACCACAACAAGAAGAUAUGGCAUCUCCACAACCAGUUUCUUCUCGACUAACACCGACAAAUAAUGAAAAUCGUGUGAAACGAAAGGGUCAAAUAACAACUCAACAUGUUGGAUCACCAAAGACACCUUUGAAAGGUCAUUCUCCAAACGCACCCAAUGAAAAUGGUUCGUCGUUCCAACCACAUUCUCCAUCAUCGUCACCUGACCACGAAGAAAGUGUGGAAAGUCCUUCAGGUUUUGGUAGGGAAACAAGUACAAACGAAGCAAGUUUAAUUGGAAGAUCACCAAAUAAUGAAGAUCAUUUGAAAACAUCAAGUGGGGCUCCUUCGUCAACACCUACAAUUGGAAAAUCAAUUCCAUCAUUGGAACCCCAACAAGAAGACAUGACAUCUCCACAUAUCGGAUCUCCUCGACCAACACCGACAAGCAAUGAAA
rnacentral:lncRNA from 1 species